CUUGGCGUCGGGCCGGUCCGCGAGCAGGCGGUUGCCCACAGCGUGCAUCAGGUGGGUCUUGCCCAGGCCGACGCCGCCAUA
rnacentral:antisense_RNA from 1 species